UCUGUACAAUAAAGCUUAACAAAAGCAUUUCAAGUUCAGAACCCCUUAUUUUAACUAUCAUUGGUUUUAAAAAAUGUAUUGAGCUUUUAGGCUUUGAGAAUGCUGGUGUUAAUGAAAUAGGUAUUUUUAUUUGGGAAUGUUAUGAACCCUCUCUGCAACAUAUAGAUCAGGUCACCGGUGGACAGAACUUUACAUUAUUGAGAAUUUAUUUGAUCGAGAUGCAUCUUGACUCUCGAGAUUAGUGAAUUUGAAACACAAUGGAUUUAUUCCAACUAAUUCUGUGUUCUGCAGAUCUCUGAUAGAAACAUACAGGAAUGCUGGGCUCAAUUGGCAAUUAUGGGCUUAAAUAAAUGUAUUAUUGUUAUACAAAUGUAA